GGCCUGCAUCAAGAGUUGGGGCGACGCCCAACGCCAACCUGCCAUUCCGGGCAAGGUGGCGCUUCCGCAAGGAAGGAUGUGGCCCGACCGGCAACCAAACGGAACAAG
rnacentral:ncRNA from 2 species